CCACAGAUUCUGGGAUUGGAACCUGGGUCUUCCUGCUUGCAGGACAAACCCCCUUGCCUUCCCAGUUGAGCCAUUGCUUGUUUUUAAGGCCAAUUUUCCAACUCGUUUUCUUCACCACUGACUUAGCUUACACUGGAACAGCUUGCAUUUUGUGUACCUUGGAGCAGAAACCAAGAUAAAUUGACAGAUAUCCUUUUUGCUGGGUCUGAUGGCACAAGUCUAUAAUCCUACCUACACACUCUUGAGGCUUAGCUGGAAGGAUAGCAAGUUCAAGGCUUGCUUGGGCUACAGAGUGAAUUGAAGAAUGAAAGGCUGAGGCACCAAAGGACUUGCUUCAGUUACACAG